CUUUGUUGCUCAGGCUGAUCUCGAGCUCCUGGCCUCAAGUGAUCCUCCCGCUUUUGGCCUCCCAAACUGAUGGGAUUACAACGUGGAGCCACCGUGUUAAACUCUUAGAUUUGACUGCUACAAAGGUAUAAAUGUGGAACUCCAUAUAUCAGUGGGUUCUGCCCCACUUCUUCCUCCCAGGAAUUCUCCAUCCCAGCCUGCUGCUCCUGUCUUGCACCGGGGAACAAACAUGUAUCCUGGAUGAAAAUAAACCAAGUCUAUUGAAACUGCAACCCAAGACAUUCAGAAGAGACAAGGCUACAGUGAAUCUGGAAACUUUGCACGUGUUUGGAUGUAUUGAUUGCCUUAACUGGCAGCCCUUUGCACUGCCAGCUUCCCUCAAUUACAUGAGGAACCACGAGGGGGCAAUGUCUUCCCGAGCAAUAAUAGCUGAGUGGUGGUCUUAGGACCCCGUGGUGGCCCAUGAUGCUAGCACCGUGUCUUUGGCCAUUCUUGCCUGUCAUGGAGCAUACUCCACAGAAGGGCAUGGUCUUCUUGGAGCCUGGCAUGGGCCCAACAAAAAUGACAAUGUAGUCAAUAGUUCCACUCAGACCUCACUUAGGAGCAGGUGGACUAUGUUGUGUGAUAUCAGGAUGCCCGGAGAACCUCUCCUAUCCCC
rnacentral:lncRNA from 1 species